rnacentral:rRNA from 1 species
UAGGGAAUCUUCCACAAUGGGCGAAAGCCUGAUGGAGCAACGCCGCGUGAGUGAAGAAGGAUUUCGGUUCGUAAAACUCUGUUGUAAGGGAAGAACAAGUAGCGUAGUAACUGGCGCUACCUUGACGGUACCUUAUUAGAAAGCCACGGCUAACUACGUGCCAGCAGCCGCGGUAAUACGUAGGUGGCAAGCGUUGUCCGGAAUUAUUGGGCGUAAAGCGCGCGCAGGUGGUCCUUUAAGUCUGAUGUGAAAGCCCACGGCUCAACCGUGGAGGGUCAUUGGAAACUGGGGGACUUGAGUGCAGAAGAGGAUAGUGGAAUUCCAAGUGUAGCGGUGAAAUGCGUAGAGAUUUGGAGGAACACCAGUGGCGAAGGCGACUAUCUGGUCUGUAACUGACACUGAGGCGCGAAAGCGUGGGGAGCAAACAG